rnacentral:rRNA from 1 species
UACAGGGGGUGCAAACGUUGCUCGGAAUCAUUGGGCGUAAAGCGCACGUAGGCGGUUCGUUAUGUCGGAUGUGAAAGCCCUUGGCUUAACCGAGGAAGUGCAUCCGAAACUGGCGAGCUAGAGUACUAAAGAGGAUCGCGGAACUCCCGGUGUAGAGGUGAAAUUCGUAGAUAUCGGGAGGAACACCGGUGGCGAAGGCGGCGAUCUGGGUAGAUACUGACGCUGAGGUGCGAAAGCGUGGGGAGCAAACAGG